GAUGAACGCUGGCGGCGUGCUUAACACAUGCAAGUCGAACGGGAAACCUUUUAAUGAAGCUUCGGCAGAUUUAGCUGGUUUCUAGUGGCGGACGGGUGAGUAACGCGUUGGUAACCUGCCUUAUACAGGGGGAUAACAGUCAGAAAUGACUGCUAAUACCGCAUAAGCGCACAGGACCGCAUGGUCCGGUGUGAAAAACUCCGGAGGUAUAAGCUGGACCCGCGUUGGAUUCGAUUGUUGGAUGGGUAACGGCUCACCAAGGCGAGGGUCCAUAUGCGGGCUUGGAGGGGGGACCGGCACAUUGGGGCAUGAAGCAGGCCCAAACCUCUGCCGGAGGCAGAAAGUGGGAACAAUGAACAACGGGGGAAACCCUGAUGCAGCGACGCCGCGUGAAGGAAGAAGUAUCUCGGUAUGUAAACUUCUAUCAGCAGGGAAGAUAGUGACGGUACCUGACUAAGAAGCCCCGGCUAACUACGUG
rnacentral:rRNA from 1 species